rnacentral:rRNA from 1 species
GAUGAACGCUGGCGGCGUGCUUAACACAUGCAAGUCGAACGGGAAACCUUUUAUUGAAGCUUCGGCAGAUUUAGCUGGUUUCUAGUGGCGGACGGGUGAGUAACGCGUGGGUAACCUGCCUUGUACAGGGGGAUAACAGUCAGAAAUGACUGCUAAUACCGCAUAAGCGCACAGGACCGCAUGGUCCGGUGUGAAAAACUCCGGUGGUAUAAGAUGGACCCGCGUUGGAUUAGCUUGUUGGUGGGGUAACGGCCCACCAAGGCGACGAUCCAUAGCCGGCCUGAGAGGGUGAACGGCCACAUUGGGACUGAGACACGGCCCAGACUCCUACGGGAGGCAGCAGUGGGGAAUAUUGCACAAUGGGGGAAACCCUGAUGCAGCGACGCCGCGUGAAGGAAGAAGUAUCUCGGUAUGUAAACUUCUAUCAGCAGGGAAGAAAAUGACGGUAC